UUAAAUUUAGAAUUUCAAUGUUUAAUUUGUUUAUAUUUUGUUUUCAAAAUAUAUUUUCAACUUAAUUUUGUGCCAAAAAUAUAUACUUAAGCAAUAAUUUGUUUGAUAGGGAAAUGCACGUUAUAAAGUGAUUUAUGGUAUUAAUGUUUGGAAGAAUAAGAUUGAAUGAAUUUGGAGAUAUUGAGAUGACGAAGAAAUCAGAAGAAGAAUAAUAUGAGAUAUUACGAAGAAAUGUUGAUAGUAAAAAAUCGUGGAUAUAAUAAUAAAUGUUGGGAAAAAAUGUUAUUGUGUAAAACUAUAAAAAUAAAAGAGCUAAAGAGCUUCAUACCUAUUGUAGAAACUCAUAA